GGCCCGGUGGCGUAAUGGUAGCGUGUGGUCCUCCUAAUCAUCCCAGAGUACAGGAGAAUCAGACUGAGGUUGUGGGUUCGAGUCCCAUCCGGGUCG